AGCGUUUCAUACGUUCCUUA
rnacentral:miRNA from 1 species